rnacentral:rRNA from 1 species
CACGGAGGAUCCGAGCGUUAUCCGGAUUUAUUGGGUUUAAAGGGUGCGCAGGCGGGAGAUUAAGUCGGCGGUGAAAUUUUGCAGCUCAACUGUAAAAGUGCCUUCGAAACUGGUUUCCUUGAGUGUAGAUGAAGUAGGCGGAAUUUGUGGUGUAGCGGUGAAAUGCAUAGAUAUCACGAGGAACUCCGAUUGCGCAGGCAGCUUACUAAACUACUACUGACGCUCAGGCACGAAGGCGUGGGGAUCAAACAGGAUUAGAUACCCCUGUA